GAUGAACGCUGGCGGCGUGCCUAAUACAUGCAAGUCGAGCGAACAGACGAGGAGCUUGCUCCUCUGACGUUAGCGGCGGACGGGUGAGUAACACGUGGAUAACCUACCUAUAAGACUGGGAUAACUUCGGGAAACCGGAGCUAAUACCGGAUAAUAUAUUGAACCGCAUGGUUCAAUAGUGAAAGACGGUUUUGCUGUCACUUAUAGAUGGAUCCGCGCCGCAUUAGCUAGUUGGUAAGGUGACGGCUUACCAAGGCAACGAUGCGUAGCCGACCUGAGAGGGUGAUCGGUCACACUGGAACUGAGACACGGUCCAGACUCCUACGGGAGGCAGCAGUAGGGAAUCUUCCGCAAUGGGCGAAAGCCUGACGGAGCAACGCCGCGUGAGUGAUGAAGGUCUUCGGAUCGUAAAACUCUGUUAUUAGGGAAGAACAAAUGUGUAAGUAACUAUGCACGUCUUGACGGUACCUAAUCAGAAAGCCACGGCUAACUACGUG
rnacentral:rRNA from 1 species